UACGGGGGGAGCAAGCGUUGUUCGGAUUUACUGGGCGUAAAGGGCGCGUAGGCGGCGUGACAAGUCAGUUGUGAAAUCUCCGGGCUUAACUCGGAACGGUCAAGUGAUACUGUCGUGCUAGAGUACAGAAGGGGCAACUGGAAUUCUUGGUGUAGCGGUGAAAUGCGUAGAUAUCAAGAGGAACACCUGAGGUGAAGACGGGUUGCUGGGCCGACACUGACGCUGAUGCGCGAAAGCCAGGGGAGCAAACGGG
rnacentral:rRNA from 1 species